rnacentral:lncRNA from 1 species
CAGAAAAUAAACUGGGACCAGAGUAUAUAACUGGGUGUCUCUGCCUCACAGCAAAGUGACCCCAGGCAUGAGGUGAUGUCUGCCAAAAACACCCCUUCUCAAGCUGUUGAAUGGUUGAAGCCUACUGUUGAUCCAAGUCCCUGGCAUCUGUUCCUGACCUUUGACUUAUAUCUUGGCUCUGGCUCACAACCUUUGGAUCAUAUCCUGGCUCUGGAUUCUGCUUCUUGGCAGCUUGUUUGGUUCCUGUCUUUGGCUUCAGCCUUGGCUUGUAUUCUGGUCCUGGCUCCAGACCCUGGGCUGUUAGCCUGCACCUUUGAGUUCAAGAAACACUUCUUCAGUCCUACUUCAUGACAUGCCACAUUACCUGGAGUACGAGAACACUUCUCCUGCAAGCACUUGACUUCAGUAAUAUUCCUGUGUCUCAUCCUGUGUAGGGACUGACUAUCCUAAUUUUUGUGUAUAUGUACUAUUGCAGUGCCUGAUCUAGAGAGAAAUGACAAAUGUUUGUUCUUAACAAAAGACAAGCCGUUUGGAAACCAUUAAAAUUUGUUUAAGAGAGUGAUGCAGAUGAAUACACUCUUUCAUGCUAACUGAUAUGAAGGGAAACAGAAAACUUUUUCAGAAAGAAGAAGAACUUAUGCUGAUGUGGUUAGAAAUAAGAUAUCACUGUAUAAGGAAAAUUUUGAUGUUUAAAGAUCCUCAGCAAGGUAAGCUGGCUUCUAUCCAUUUAGGUCUGGUUCUGAGUAUGUUGGGGCACUGUAUUUUACUCUCUUUAUUGUCCUGCCUGAGACAAAGACAUUAUGUUAUCUCAUUUUGAUUCUGCUAAUCCAUGACAGACAGAUUUACUUUAACUGGUCCUUCCCCCAGCUGCAGUUCACCUGCCUGGGGAAAUGUGACGUAUCCCAGUAGAACAAACAUUUAUUACAAUAUGUAGCUCCAAGGAACCAUAAAAAAAACCACCUCUU